rfam:Rhodnius prolixus Rhodnius_prolixus-3.0.3-287.18, whole genome shotgun sequence.
AUACUUACCUGGCGUCGAGGUUACCAUGAUCAACAAGGUGGUUCCUCCAGGGUGAGGCCUAUUCAUUGCACUUAGAAUUGGUUGACCCCUGCGAAUGUCCCAAAUGUGGAUAUCUCGGGCGCAUAAUUUUUGGUAGUGUGGACUGCGUUCGCGCUGUCCUAC